UACGUAGGUGGCAAGCGUUGUCCGGAAUCACUGGGCGUAAAGCGCGCGCAGGCGGCGAUCUACGUCUGGGGUGAAAGCCCGGAGCUCAACUCCGGGACUGCCUUGGAUACGGGAUCGCUUGAGAAUUGGAGAGGCAAGGGGAAUUCCACGUGUAGCGGUGAAAUGCGUAGAUAUGUGGAGGAACACCUGUGGCGAAGGCGGCUCACUGGACCGGAACUGACGCUGAGGCGCGAAAGCGUGGGGAGCAAACAGG
rnacentral:rRNA from 1 species